UACGUAGGGUCCGAGCGUUGUCCGGAAUUAUUGGGCGUAAAGAGCUCGUAGGCGGCUUGUCGCGUCGACUGUGAAAACCCGCGGCUUAACUGCGGGACUGCAGUCGAUACGGGCAGACUAGAGUGUGGUAGGGGAGACUGGAAUUCCUGGUGUAGCGGUGAAAUGCGCAGAUAUCAGGAGGAACACCGAUGGCGAAGGCAGGUCUCUGGGCCACUACUGACGCUGAGAAGCGAAAGCAUGGGGGAGCGAACAGG
rnacentral:rRNA from 1 species